CGACCUGAGCUCAGGCAAGAAC
rnacentral:rRNA from 2 species